GAUGAACGCUGGCGGCGUGCCUAAUACAUGCAAGUCGAGCGAACAGAUGAGGAGCUUGCUCCUCUGACGUUAGCGGCGGACGGGUGAGUAACACGUGGAUAACCUACCUAUAAGACUGGGAUAACUUCGGGAAACCGGAGCUAAUACCGGAUAAUAUAUUGAACCGCAUGGUUCAAUAGUGAAAGACGGUUUUGCUGUCACUUAUAGAUGGAUCCGCGCCGCAUUAGCUAGUUGGUAAGGUAACGGCUUACCAAGGCAGCGAUGCGUAGCCGACCUGAGAGGGUGAUCGGCCACACUGGAACUGAGACACGGUCCAGACUCCUACGGGAGGCAGCAGUAGGGAAACUUCCGCAAUGGGCGAAAGCCUGACGGAGCAACGCCGCGUGAGUGAUGAAGGUCUUCGGAUCGUAAAACUCUGUUAUUAGGGAAGAACAAAUGUGUAAGUAACUAUGCACGUCUUGACGGUACCUAAUCAGAAAGCCACGGCUAACUACGUG
rnacentral:rRNA from 1 species